rnacentral:rRNA from 1 species
UCGGGAAUAUUGCGCAAUGGAGGAAACUCUGACGCAGUGACGCCGCGUGCAGGAAGAAGGUUUUCGGAUUGUAAACUGCUUUAGACAGGGAAGAAACAAGACAGUACCUGUAGAAUAAGCUCCGGCUAACUACGUGCCAGCAGCCGCGGUAAUACGUAGGGAGCAAGCGUUAUCCGGAUUUAUUGGGUGUAAAGGGUGCGUAGACGGGAAAACAAGUUAGUUGUGAAAUCCCUCGGCUUAACUGAGGAACUGCAACUAAAACUAUUUUUCUUGAGUGCUGGAGAGGAAAGUGGAAUUCCUAGUGUAGCGGUGAAAUGCGUAGAUAUUAGGAGGAACACCAGUGGCGAAGGCGACUUUCUGGACAGUAACUGACGUUGAGGCACGAAAGUGUGGGGAGCAAACAGGA